GCCGGGGUAGCACAAUGGUAGUGCGUGGAGCUUUUAACUCCAAGGUUGUGGGUUCGAGCCCCACCUCCGGCG
rfam:Penicillium decumbens strain IBT 11843 PENDEC_contig002, whole genome shotgun sequence.